UACAGAGGGGGCAAGCGUUGUUCGGAAUUACUGGGCGUAAAGGGCGCGUAGGCGGCCUUCUAAGUCGAACGUGAAAUCCCUGGGCUCAACCCAGGAACUGCGUCCGAUACUGGAAGGCUUGAAUCCGGGAGAGGGAUGCGGAAUUCCAGGUGUAGCGGUGAAAUGCGUAGAUAUCAGGAGGAACACCGAUGGCGAAGGCAGGUCUCUGGGCUAACACUGACGCUCAUGCACGAAAGCGUGGGGAGCAAACAGG
rnacentral:rRNA from 1 species